rnacentral:lncRNA from 12 species
UUCUCUGGGAUUAUUGGUGGUACUCAGGUCAGCAGAGGUGCCAAGUUUAUUCUUUUGUGCCUGCAGAUUUACCAGAGAUGCUGGUUAGUGUUCAAAAAGGCUUCAAGCAAAGGGCCCAAGAGGCUGGAGAAGUUCUCAGAUGAACGAGCUGCUUACUUCAGGUGCUACCACAAGGUCACAGAGCUCAAUAAUGUCAAGGAUGUCUCAAGGCUGCCAAAAAGCACAAAGAAACACGCUGUGGGCAUUUAUUUCAGUGAUGACACCUCCAAAACCUUUGCUUGUGACUCAGGUGGGUGAAAUGGCCACACUCCUUAGAAAAGCUCAGAGCAUUCUUGUGAAAUUAUAAAUAUCAUGUACCCACACACAGAUUUUUC